GUCGUAGGUGCAGCGACCGCGGCGGACAAGUCGCGGGCGCCUCCUUGGAGCGUAAUUCCCACCGAGCGGCGGGUGGAAUCCUUUGCAGACGACUUAAAUACGCGACGGGGUAUUGUAAGUGGCAGAGUGGCCUUGCUGCCACGAUCCACUGAGAUUCAGCCCUUUGUCGCUUCGAUUCGU
rnacentral:ncRNA from 1 species